UACGUAGGGUGCAAGCGUUGUCCGGAAUUAUUGGGCGUAAAGAGCUCGUAGGCGGUCUGUCGCGUCGGCUGUGAAAACCCGAGGCUCAACCUCGGGCCUGCAGUCGAUACGGGCAAACUAGAGUACUGCAGGGGAGACUGGAAUUCCUGGUGUAGCGGUGAAAUGCGCAGAUAUCAGGAAGAACACCCGUGGCGAAGGCGGCUCUCUGGGACGGUACUGACGCUGAGACGCGAAAGCGUGGGGAGCGAACAGG
rnacentral:rRNA from 1 species